rnacentral:rRNA from 1 species
CACCGGCGGCUCGAGUGGUGGCCACUUUUAUUGGGUCUAAAGCGUCCGUAGCCGGCUUGGCAAGUCCCCUGGGAAAUCUGGCGGCUUAACCGUCAGGCGUCCAGAGGAUACUGCCAGGCUUGGGACCGGGAGAGGUGAGAGGUACCUCAGGGGUAGGGGUGAAAUCUUGUGAUCCCUGAGGGACCACCAGUGGCGAAGGCGUCUCACUAGCACGGGUCCGACGGUCAGGGACGAAAGCUGGGGGCACGAACCGG